AUGACCUCUCGAAGGCUCCGAAGUUCGAUUACGACAAGAUGAAGAAGUAAAAGGUCUAGCACUGCCCGGCGACCACGGAUGUAAUGGCGCUGGGCUGCAUUCGAGAAGAAGGUCGGUGCGUAAACUCGUACCGGCCUUUUUGUUU
rnacentral:sRNA from 1 species